UAGGGAAUCUUCCACAAUGGACGCAAGUCUGAUGGAGCAACGCCGCGUGAGUGAAGAAGGUUUUCGGAUCGUAAAGCUUUGUUGUUGGUGAAGAAGGAUAGAGGCAGUAACUGGUCUUUAUUUGACGGUAAUCAACCAGAAAGUCACGGCUAACUACGUGCCAGCAGCCGCGGUAAUACGUAGGUGGCAAGCGUUGUCCGGAUGUAUUGGGCGUAAAGCGAGCGCAGGCGGAAUGAUAAGUCUGAUGUGAAAGCCCACGGCUCAACCGUGGAACUGCAUCGGAAACUGUCAUUCUUGAGUGCAGAAGAGGAGAGUGGAAUUCCAUGGGUAGCGGUGGAAUGCGUAGAUAUAUGGAAGAACACCAGUGGCGAAGGCGGCUCUCUGGUCUGCAACUGACGCUGAGGCUCGAAAGCAUGGGUAGCGAACAGG
rnacentral:rRNA from 1 species